UGCGCGGAUAGAUGAGCCGRUGUSGGAUUAGCUAGUUGGCGGGGUAAAGGCCCACCRAGGCGACGAUCCGUAGCUGGUCUGAGAGGAUGAUCAGCCACACUGGAACUGAGACACGGUCCAGACUCCUACGGGAGGCAGCAGUGGGGAAUAUUGGACAAUGGGCGCAAGCCUGAUCCAGCCAUACCGCGUGGGUGAAGAAGGCCUUCGGGUUGUAAAGCCCUUUUGUUGGGAAAGAAAAGCAGUCGAUUAAUACUCGGUUGUUCUGACGGUACCCAAAGAAUAAGCACCGGCUAACUUCGUGCCAGCAGCCGCGGUAAUACGAAGGGUGCAAGCGUUACUCGGAAUUACUGGGCGUAAAGCGUGCGUAGGUGGUUGUUUAAGUCUGUUGUGAAAGCCCUGGGCUCAACCUGGGAAUUGCAGUGGAUACUGGGCGACUAGAGUGUGGUAGAGGGUAGUGGAAUUCCCGGUGUAGCAGUGAAAUGCGUAGAGAUCGGGAGGAACAUCCAUGGCG
rnacentral:rRNA from 1 species